rnacentral:rRNA from 1 species
UGGAUCCAGACUUUGAUCCUGGCUCAGGACGAACGCUGGCGGCGUGCCUAACACAUGCAAGUCGAACGAGAAAUUCAUUUGUGAUCCCUUCGGGGUGAACAGAUGGAUGGAAAGUGGCGGACGGGCGAGUAACGCGUGAGUAACCUGCCCAUAAGAGGGGGAUAAUCCUUGGAAACGAGGACUAAUACCGCAUAUUGAAACGAAACCGCAUGAUUUUGUUUUGAAAGAUUUAUCGCUUAUGGAUGGACUCGCGUCAGAUUAGAUAGUUGGAGAGGUAACGGCUCACCAAGUCGACGAUCUGUAGCCGAACUGAGAGGUUGAUCGGCCGCAUUGGGACUGAGACACGGCCCAGACUCCUACGGGAGGCAGCAGUGGGGAAUAUUGCGCAAUGGGGGCAACCCUGACGCAGCAACGCCGCGUGCAGGAAGAAGGUCUUCGGAUUGUAAACUGUUGUCGCAGGGGAAGAAGAAAGUGACGGUACCCUGUGAGAAAGUCACGGCUAACUACGUGCCAGCAGCCGCGGUAAUACGUAGGUGACAAGCGUUGUCCGGAUUUACUGGGUGUAAAGGGCGCGUAGGCGGACUGUCAAGUCAGUCGUGAAAUACCGGGGCUUAACCCCGGGGCUGCGAUUGAAACUGACAGCCUUGAGUAUCGGAGAGGAAAGCGGAAUUCCUAGUGUAGCGGUGAAAUGCGUAGAUAUUAGGAGGAACACCAGUGGCGAAGGCGGCUUUCUGGACGACAACUGACGCUGAGGCGCGAAAGUGUGGGGAGCAAACAGGAUUAGAUACCCUGGUAGUCCACACCGUAAACGAUGGAUACUAGGUGUAGGAGGUAUCGACCCCUUCUGUGCCGCAGUUAACACAAUAAGUAUCCCACCUGGGGAGUACGACCGCAAGGUUGCAAGUCAAAGGAAUUGACGGA